GCCUGGCUGGCUCAGUUGGUGGAGCAUGCGACUCUUGAUCGUGGGGUUGUAGGUUUGAGCCCCACGUUGGGUG
rfam:Felis catus isolate Cinnamon breed Abyssinian chromosome X, whole genome shotgun sequence.